CACAUGCAAGUCGAACGGACUGGCCUUGAGCUUGCUUGGGGUUGGUGAGUGGCGAACGGGUGAGUAACACGUGAGUAACCUGCCCUCUUCUUUGGGAUAACGGUCGGAAACGGCUGCUAAUACUGGAUAUUCACUCAUUGGCGCAUGUUGGUGGGUGGAAAGAUGCACUUUUGGUGUUUUUGGUGGGGGAUGGGCUCGCGGCCUAUCAGCUUGUUGGUGGGGUGAUGGCCUACCAAGGCUUUGACGGGUAACCGGCCUGAGAGGGUGACCGGUCACAUUGGGACUGAGAUACGGCCCAGACUCCUACGGGAGGCAGCAGUGGGGAAUUUUGCACAAUGGGCGCAAGCCUGAUGCAGCGACGCCGCGUGAGGGAUGGAGGCCUUCGGGUUGUGAACCUCUUUCGCUCAUGGUCAAGCCGCGACUUUGGGUUGUGGUGAGGGUAGUGGGUAAAGAAGCGCCGGCUAACUACGUGCCAGCAGCCGCGGUAAUACGUAGGGCGCGAGCGUUGUCCGGAAUUAUUGGGCGUAAAGGGCUUGUAGGCGGUUGGUCGCGUCUGCCGUGAAAUCCUCUGGCUUAACUGGGGGCGUGCGGUGGGUACGGGUCGACUUGAGUGCGGUAGGGGAGACUGGAAUUCCUGGUGUAGCGGUGGAAUGCGCAGAUAUCAGGAGGAACACCGGUGGCGAAGGCGGGUCUCUGGGCCGUUACUGACGCUGAGGAGCGAAAGCGUGGGGAGCGAACAGGAUUAGAUA
rnacentral:rRNA from 1 species